UGUGCACAACUACUUACAAACCCCAA
rnacentral:piRNA from 1 species